rnacentral:rRNA from 1 species
AAUCUUCCGCAAUGGGCGAAAGCCUGACGGAGCAACGCCGCGUGUGUGAUGAAGGUCUUAGGAUCGUAAAACUCUGUUGCUAGGGAAGAACAAAUUUGUUAGUAACUGCACAAGUCUUGACGGUACCUAGCCAGAAAGCCACGUCACACUACGCGCCAGCAGCCGCGGUAAUACGUAGGUGGCAAGCGUUAUCCGGAAUUAUUGGGCGUAAAGCGCGCGUAGGCGGUUUCUUAAGUCUGAUGUGAAAGUCCACGGCUCAACCGUGGAAGGUCAUUGGAAACUGGGGAGCUUGAGUGCAGUAGAGGAGAGUGGAAUUCCAUGUGUAGCGGUGAAAUGCGCAGAGAUAUGAAGGAACACCAGUGGCGAAGGCGGCUCUCUGGUCUGUAACUGACGCUGAUGUGCGAAAGCGUGGGGAUCAAAC